GGGCGCAAGCCUGAUGCAGCGACGCCGCGUGAGGGAUGGAGGCCUUCGGGUUGUAAACCUCUUUUAUCGGGGAGCAAGCGAGAGUGAGUUUACCCGUUGAAUAAGCACCGGCUAACUACGUGCCAGCAGCCGCGGUAAUACGUAGGGUGCAAGCGUUAUCCGGAAUUAUUGGGCGUAAAGGGCUCGUAGGCGGUUCGUCGCGUCCGGUGUGAAAGUCCAUCGCUUAACGGUGGAUCCGCGCCGGGUACGGGCGGGCUUGAGUGCGGUAGGGGAGACUGGAAUUCCCGGUGUAACGGUGGAAUGUGUAGAUAUCGGGAAGAACACC
rnacentral:rRNA from 1 species